CCUACGGGUGGCAGCAGUGGGGAAUAUUGCACAAUGGGGGAAACCCUGAUGCAGCGACGCCGCGUGAGCGAUGAAGUAUCUCGGUAUGUAAAGCUCUAUCAGCAGGGAAGAAAAUGACGGUACCUGACAAAGAAGCCCCGGGCAACUACGUGCCAGCAGCCGCGGGAAUACGUAGGGGGCAAGCGUUAUCCGGAUUUACUGGGUGUAAAGGUAGCGUAGACGGCGGUGCAAGCCAGAGGUGAAAGCCCGGGGCUCAACCCCGGGACUGCAUUUGGAACUGUGCUGCUAGAGUGGCGGAGAGGCAGGCGGAAUUCGUAGUGUAGCGGUGAAAUGCGUAGAUAUUAGGAGGAACACCAGUGGCGAAGGCGGCCUGCUGGACGAUGACUGACGUUGAGGCUCGAAAGCGUGGGGAGCAAACAGGAUUAGAUACCCGUGUAGUC
rnacentral:rRNA from 1 species